rnacentral:sRNA from 1 species
GCACUGGUGGCAGCCCGGAUGUGGCUCUC